rnacentral:rRNA from 1 species
UACAGAGGGGGCAAGCGUUGUUCGGAAUCACUGGGCGUAAAAGCGCACGUAGGCGGAUUUGUAAGUCAGGGGUGAAAUCCCGGGGCUCAACCUCGGAACUGCCUUUGAUACUGCGAAUCUUGAGUCCGAUAGAGGUGGGUGGAAUUCCUAGUGUAGAGGUGAAAUUCGUAGAUAUUAGGAAGAACACCGGUGGCGAAGGCGGCCCACUGGAUCGGUACUGACGCUGAGGUGCGAAAGCGUGGGGAGCAAACAGG